AUACUUACAAGGAAGGGAAGACACCAGGAUCACGAAGGUGGUUUUUUUAAGGCGAGGCUUAUCCACUCCACUCCGGAUGUGCUAAUUCCUACAGUUUCCUUAAAUGUGGGAAACUUGACUGCAUAGUCUAUGGCGAACUGCAUUCAUGCUUUUCCCUG
ensembl:snRNA U1 U1 spliceosomal RNA